rnacentral:rRNA from 1 species
AUCAGUGGCGAACGGGUGAGUAACACGUGAGUAACCUGCCCCAGACUCUGGGAUAACUUCGGGAAAUCGGAGCUAAUACCGGAUAUGAGACGUCCUCGCAUGGGGAGCGUCUGGAAAGAUUUAUUGGUCUGGGAUGGACUCGCGGCCUAUCAGCUUGUUGGUGAGGUAAUGGCUCACCAAGGCGACGACGGGUAGCCGGCCUGAGAGGGCGACCGGCCACACUGGGACUGAGAUACGGCCCAGACUCCUACGGGAGGCAGCAGUGGGGAAUAUUGCACAAUGGGCGAAAGCCUGAUGCAGCGACGCCGCGUGAGGGAUGAAGGCCUUCGGGUUGUAAACCUCUUUCAGCAGGGAAGAAGCGAUGGGGUUCUCUUCGUCGUGACGGUACCUGCAGAAGAAGCGCCGGCUAACUACGUGCCAGCAGCCGCGGUAAUACGUAGGGCGCAAGCGUUGUCCGGAAUUAUUGGGCGUAAAGAGCUCGUAGG